rnacentral:rRNA from 1 species
UACGAAGGGGACUAGCGUUGUUCGGAAUUACUGGGCGUAAAGCGUGCGCAGGCGGUUCGUUGUGUCGGCGGGGAAAGCCCCGGGCUCAACCUGGGAAUGGCCGUUGAAACUGGCGAACUGGAGUGUGGCAGAGGGGGGUGGAAUUCCGCGUGUAGCAGUGAAAUGCGUAGAGAUGCGGAGGAACACCGAUGGCGAAGGCAGCCCCCUGGGCUGACACUGACGCUCAGGCACGAAAGCGUGGGGAGCAAACAGG